rnacentral:rRNA from 1 species
UACAGAGGAUGCAAGCGUUAUCCGGAAUGAUUGGGCGUAAAGCGUCUGUAGGUGGCUUUUUAAGUCCGCCGUCAAAUCCCAGGGCUCAACUCUGGACAGGCGGUGGAAACUACCAAGCUGGAGUACGGUAGGGGCAGAGGGAAUUUCCGGUGGAGCGGUGAAAUGCGUUGAUAUCGGAAGGAACGCCGGCGGCGAAAGCGGCGUGCUGGACCCCUCCUGACGCUGAGGCGCGAAAGCCAGGGGAGCGAACGGG